CACCUUGAUCUUAGACUUCUCAGCCUCCAGAACUUUGAGAAAUAAAUUUCUGUUGUUAUCCAUAGCCACCCAGUAAUGACAUUCUGUUAUUACAGCCUUAAUGGACUACGACACGGACUAAAACCUGUGAAGGAAGAGAGUUGGAAACACAAGAAGAAACUGGGGUUCCAGACUCUCAUAGACUUCGAUGGGAGGGCUACUCACAGGAGGGAAGCUUGGAGCUGAAGAAAUGUGGAUCAAAGCAAUCAGCUUAAAGCAUCUCAUUCUGCCUUUCAUAGGCCAGCUGUUCUGAAAGUUCUACGGCCUUCCACAGUCAUGCCUGCCUUUCCCGAAAUGGCAGUUGCAAGACAGUUAAAGGUCAAAAAAGAGAGAAAACGUCACAGUUCUCUUCAGCAGAACUUUUGUCAGUGUGAUCGAGAAGUGUCUCAAGUGACAAGUGAGCUGACCAGGGUAAGAAAUAGUUUCCUGUGUCUGUUCUUGGCCUUGUUACUUUCCGGGAAGGGACAGAUUCCAGAGGACCCCCUCAUUGUCCUUGCCCUCAGCCUCAAAAUGUGGAUUGGGAGUUAGAGUUUUUUUUCUAGGAACAGAAAACCUCAUUUCUUUUUCUUUUUCUUUUUUUUCACACGGAGUUUUGCUCUGUCACCCAGGCUGGAGUACAGUAUCACGAUCUCAGCUCACUGCAACCUCCACCUCCCAGGUUCAAGUGAUUCUCCUGCCUCAGCCUCCUGAGUCUCUGGGAUUACAGGCAACCACCACCUUGCUGGGCUGAUUUUUGUAUUUUUAGUAGAGACGGGGUUUUCCCAUGUUGGCCAGACUUGUCUCCAACUCCUGGCCCCAACCAAUCUUCUGGCCUUAGCCUCCCAAAGUGCUGGGAUUACAGGAGUGAGCCACUGCGCCUGGCCAGAAAAACUCAUUUCUUGUCCUGGCUUUGCUACUAACUCGCUUGUAACCUUUAGCUAAUCUUUUAAUUUUCUGGGCCUCGGUUUCUACGUUUUUAAAAUUGGAGAGUUGAAAUGAUUGAUCUCUAAGAUAUUUAGUACUAGUGUUAUAUAAUUUCAGCAUAGAAUUUUUCUCAAGUAUGUUCUAAUACAUGUGUCUCAGAAUUCCCUAAUUUGCACGUCACCUCACUCUACAGUUUUUCCCUUUGUCUAUGCAUUAUAUAGGCUAGACGAUCAUUUGUGGAAUAUUUUU
rnacentral:lncRNA from 1 species